AACGAACGCUGGCGGCAGGCCUAACACAUGCAAGUCGAGCGCCCCGCAAGGGGAGCGGCGGACGGGUGAGUAACGCGUGGGAACGUACCUUUUGCUUCGGAAUAGCCUCGGGAAACUGGGAGUAAUACCGAAUGUGCCCUACGGGGAAAGAUUUAUCGGCAAAAGAUCAGCCAGCGUUGGAUUAGGUAGUUGGUGGGGUAAUGGCCUACCACGCCGACGAUCCAUAGCUGGUUUGAGAGGAUGAUCAGCCACACUGAGACUGAGAAACGGCCCAGAAUCCGACGGGAGGCUGCCGUGGGGAAGUUUAGACGAUGGGUGCAAGCCUGAUCUGCCCAGGCCGCGUGAGCGGUGAAGGCCGUAGGGUUGUAAAGCUCUUUCGUGGGGGAGGAUAAUGUCUGUACCCCAAGAAGAAGCCCCGGCUAACUCCGUGCCAGCCGCCGCCGUAA
rnacentral:rRNA from 1 species